rnacentral:lncRNA from 1 species
UGAAUACAUUUAAGAAAGCAAUUUUUAAAAAAUUACUGCUCACUUAUACAAUGGAUUUAUAUACAUACUUAUAUAUUUUUUUGGCCACACCUGUGGCAUAUGGAAGUUCCCAGGCCAGGUAUUAAAUAUGAGCUGCAGCUGCAACCUACACCACAACUGUGGCGAUGCUGGAUCCUUAAUUCACCAGGCCAGGCCAUACUGGGGAUUGAACCUGUACCACCAGUGACAACUCUGGAUCCUUAACCCACCAUGCCUCAGCAGGAACUCCACACAGAUUUUAUAUUUAACUUUGGAUGCUGGCAGUGGAUCUGAUUAAACCAUGUCCAUGUAGGGCCAAUUUUAAAUAUAUUAAAACCUUUUGAAAUUUCAGAGGAUUAGAAAUGAGAGCUUCACAAUUAUUUUUUGAACGCAUGAAACAGAAACCAUCCAGUGUCAGAAGUUUUUUCUUCACCAUGCCAAGCUGACUUUUUCCUUCAGCCAUGGGAUGCAUUUAAUGUAAUUGCAAUCUGUAUACGUGUAAAAUUUUGUGUCCUGAUUUUUUUUAACAGCAUUUUAUUUGCACAUUUCUAUUUCUUCACUUGGUUCUUAUAAAUACGUGCACUUUACCGACAAUGCAGUCCUGUUGUUCUAUCGUAAUCAAUUUGACCAGUUUUCUACUUUUACCACUUGAAGUGUUUUCAAACAUUUUCUUUUAGUAUUCAGUAUUUAAACUAUUUAGUUUUUAAAUUAUUUAGUAUUUAAUAUAUUGAUAAAUAAUCUCAUUACAUUUGGGGGAGGGUGGAAUUAUUAUUUUAAAAGGUACAAGAGGAGUUGCCAUUGUGGCUUGCUGGUAACAAACCCGACCAGGAUUCAUGAGGAGGGGGGAGGUUUGAUCCCUGACCUCGCUCAGUGGGUUAAGGAUCUGGUGUUGCCAUGAGCUGUGGUGCAGCUCACGGGAACAUUGGAGCCCUCAACCCACUAAGCAAGGCCAGGGAUCGAACCCGCAACCUCAUGGUUCCUAGUUGGAUUCGUUAACCACUGAGCCACGACGGGAACUCGUGAUUAAAGUUAUUUAAUGCUGUUUUUUUUUCUUUUUCUUUUUUCAUUAAACCAUAAUUGAUUUACAGUUGUGCCAAUUUCUGCUGUACAGCAAAGGGCAUACAUACACAUACAUUCUUUUUUAAUAUUUUUUCCCAUCAUGGUCUCUCCCAAGAAAAUGGAUAUAGUUCCCUG